UACGAAGGGGGCUAGCGUUGCUCGGAAUCACUGGGCGUAAAGGGUGCGUAGGCGGGUCUUUAAGUCAGGGGUGAAAUCCUGGAGCUCAACUCCAGAACUGCCUUUGAUACUGAGAUCUUGAGUUCGGGAGAGGUGAGUGGAACUGCGAGUGUAGAGGUGAAAUUCGUAGAUAUUCGCAAGAACACCAGUGGCGAAGGCGGCUCACUGGCCCGAUACUGACGCUGAGGCACGAAAGCCAGGGGAGCGAACGGG
rnacentral:rRNA from 1 species